UACCCACGGUUACCCUUUAGUGCAAUGUAUACAUAAAUAUACACUAAAAAAAAAAUUGGAAGAACCCUAAGUGUCUUGCUCGGAAAAUCGAUUUCAUCGCAGCAUUCUGUCGAAGGAUCAACUUCUAUGAAGCCAUUCACCCAGACACAUUGAAAGGCUUGCCAAUUGCAUUCAUUUUCUCUCUGGCACUUAAGGCAAACCAAUUAGUGUGAUCGUGGUGAAAUCUCAAAUGUAAACAAAGUGAGUAAGUGGUGAAUACUUGUCGUGUCUUUGUUUUUGUGUUUGGCAUGCUAAGAAAGAUUGGCGAAUAAUAUGUCAACGGUGUGGUGUAUUUAUUGGACUAUUUGGUGUGUUGGACUGUUCUGCAAUCAACAACAACAACAACGCUAUUACACGAAGUACAUCUUCAAUGAGAAUGAAAGACGACAUAAAGAACAAGGAUUAAUGCGCCAAAAUAAAUGGGAUUAAAUUUAAAGUCUUGAUGGAGAAUUUGUUCAACAGUGGUGUCAGAAAUUUCCAUAGCAGCUCCAAGUUUGCGAGCCGAACACUAAGGAGAACGCAUAACUGACAUCCUCAUUCAUUCAAUAUUUCCGGGAGUUUUGAUGUUCCCUUAAAGUCUAUUUCUGGGUUUAGCGACACUUCCGCACUCCCGAAAUGAGCUCACCUACGACAGAAUCAAAUUACGGCCAGAAAGGGAUCUGCGAGGAGAAAUUUCAAA